rnacentral:misc_RNA from 1 species
GUAUCUGUAACUGAAGUAGGAACCAGCGACUAAAAGGGGCACAAAGAACUCCAGAAAAGCUGCGUACUUGGGCAGGCCAUCAUCGUUGAUCACAAAAGCACUCAUUUCCUUUUUCUUGGGUUCCUUGAUGGAAGAAUCCAUGAUGUUCCCCUCUUUGAAAGUGUAACCUGGAAGAACGCCCACCUGGUACUUGAGGAGUAGGUUCUGGGCUGCCCUGCUGUGUCCAAUGUCCUUGAACUCCUUAGUUGCAUCCUUUCCGGCUGAUUCUAUCAGCACCUCUUCUCCCCCUGGGUGCUCUUCCAAGAACUUUGUGACGUUAAGCACUCUGCCAUCAAUAACAAGCCAGCAAUCUUUCUUGGAUUUGUGUUGGGCGACCUGUGACAGUGUGAAAACUCGCUGGUCAGCCAUGUUUCUCUCUUUGGAUUUUGAAG